ensembl:ncRNA M117.12 ncRNA
GUGCGCCAGAGAAAAAGACGGACAGACACAAAUUGAGUGAGUGUGCGUUGCCCACUUUAGUUGUUGUCAUGCGACGGCGGCGGCACGCGCUCUCUCAUCGGCCGGCACUGCUGUCCAUCGAUUUUUCUUCUUUCAAACGUCGUG